CUGGUACAGGAAGGUGGUACAGGAAGUCUGGUACAGUGGAUUUCAAUUACUGGCUUACUGCCGUUUUAUUUAUUGUUCAAUAUUUCAACUUUUCAUCUAUUAAGUCUUAAGUGUUAGCUAAAACACAGUGUCGCAGAUUUUGCUAAGGAAAGCUCUAGUGUUGUGAUGGGUAUGCGAUGGAAUACUGACUCAUCUGUUGGAUAACUGUGAGGCGAAAGAUUUAUGAAACAUGCAUUUGCAGCAAUGAACAAUUUGCACGCUACCCAUAACAUUAAGUCAUUAAUCACGUGAAAAGGAUGGAUGGCCCUUGACUCAAUAUGGUGACAGCUUCAGAAUGGAUCUGGCGUACUAAACGGAACCCCAUGCAGUUCGGGUUGAAAUCACAGUCAGAAGAUGCACUGAUGAAUCUACAGUCACUCAGCUGUACCAAUAACAAUUUCUCAUUUGUCACGUUCAUGGGACAAUCACGUCAUCAACUAGCACACCGGUCGAUUCUGAUGAGCUCCAUGUUUUGGGUGGAUUGACAGAGGAAGCAAACAUUCCAUGCGGAUGGAAAGUACAAUUCUGCAUCGCCAACGCUCGAUUAGACACAGGGCUCUUUUCAAGUUUUAUACAGGCUGGAACCCGCACAGUUUCAUACCGAUCGACAAUGCCCACGGUGCGUAUUUCCACAGGUGGUCGGCACGUGAAGUAAAAAUAUGAAACUCGACGAGGUUUAUCGCGCGAAGGACACCCAUUUGUCAACGCGAAUCGCACCUACAGGUCUGAAUACAGGACUUCGACCCUUUGCAAAAUUGCACGCAACAGAGCCUAUUCUUUUCGCAUCACUUCGAAAGUUGCAAUUAUGUUUUGAAUCACGUUUUAUGCGGAAGCUUCAACAUCACUUUAUGACACGUUCAAGAGGCGCUUCAUGUUUUGGAUGGAGUGACAGAGGAAGCAAACAUUCCGUGCGGAUGGAAAGUACAAUUCUACAUCGCCAACGCUCGAUUAGACACUGGGCCCUUUUCAAUAUCUACCUUGUUCAUUUUCAUGCAACCCUGCCCAUUCCUCCUCAAUUUCAUUGCAAAUUAUUCAAAAUGGUGGCCGUCUGGCAUGUUCAUUGUUGAAUUGAUAUUUCCUGUGAUGGUGAUUACAAUUCUCAGCUUUUUGACAACUGCAGCUGAAGUUUUUGUGUGCCCAAGUGCUGUUGGCAAUAGAGAUGAAAUGUUCCAGUCCAAUAAUGCAAGCUGUGUCUUUCAUAACCAGGAAUUUCUGUUUGCAAGGUUGACGCGAGUGUCUUCGUGAGGGGGACAAAAUUCCGCCAUUUGUUUCUGAGACACCGAGUGAAAAUGUAUUCCAAAUGCAUUGCGGAUUUACGGCGUCGUUCUACAUUUUCAAUCAAGAAAUUUAACAGUUUAUGUUUAGAGAUCCCUUUACAUAUGGAGGAAUUUAAGAACACGCAAAAUCUGAACUUCAUUGCUGUCUUUCGCGUUAAUGGUUUUGUUGCAGCCAGCUGGUGAAAGGUUUGAUUCAGUUUAACUGUACUUGCUGCAUCAGUCUUUAGUGGUGGUGUUAUCCUGAAGUGCGAAAGCGUAACCCAACUACAACUGCACGAAGACUUCUUGAAAUGGACUCUGUGGCAAGGUGUUUUUCAACUGUAUGAUGCUGUUCAAUAUGCAGUGGUUUUGCAGCCAUUUCCAGUUCAAGCUGUUUCAUGCUGCCUGUGGUGCUGGCAUAUCCUGUAAUGUGUUGUUUGUCAAAGUCUUUCAGUCUUUGUGUGUAAUGCCUGUGUCGAUGUCUCUGUGACGUACCGAGAUGAUUGGACAUAACUGAAGAAGUUUAUGAUUUAGAUGUAGACAAGUGCAUAUCUGGGCUCCCUUCUUUUCUGCGGUCCCGUUUCCCUAACUAACCAACGCC
rnacentral:lncRNA from 1 species